ACCCUCAUAGCUCACAUGGUAGAGCAUGAGACUCUUAUUCCCAGGGUUGUGGGUUCAAGCCCCAUGUUGCAGGGGGGGGUG